AGAGAAACAGCAAAAGCCGGGACUUCAACAGUCCUUCCCCCAGCCUCCAGCACUGAGUAGCCAGCCCGGCAGACAAGGGGGGAGCCAGACCUGGAGGGGAAUAAAAAGGCUUCCACCCAAGGGCUCUGCAGCUCCCCGAAGCCACUGAGUGCGCUGGCACCCUCUCUUCCUCCUUGAGCAGGGCCCCUUUUUUCAGCCUCGCAUCCUGGUGCUGAGCCAGCAGCCGGCAAGGGGGGCGGAGAGCCACCCCCAUGAAACCUCCACCACCACCACCGGGCAUAGUCCCACGACUACCCCCUGCCCGCUGCGCCCCAGACGCAAGCAGAGGUGACGCAUUCAGGACUGGCCCGCCAGCCAGAGACGCCCUCUCACAGGCGGUUCCCAAGUGCUGAGGAAGGUGAUGACCACACCCCAGAGAUCCACACACUCCUCCACCUCCACAGCUUCGCCCCAACCUCUCAAACGAGCUCCUCAGGCUUGGGGUGGCGUGCUCGGCCAGGGCCAGCCAGCCCAUUCCAACUGAGCCUAGGAAUCCAGGUCUCCCAGGAGUCAUUCUUUUGGGUCCCACUUUGAGCCCUGGACCUGCAGUCACAUUCCCCUCAACUGGCUGACUCUGCUCCGUGGGUGGGAGGGGAGCCAACCAGAGUCUGGCUGGUUCAAGUCCUCAGCUCUUCACAAACUUGCCCCGACAAGGACCCCCGAAUCACUGCUUCGGGGCCCCCCAGCAUCAGCAGUAAGCCCCACCUAUGUGGCUUCUUAUGUGUCCUGGCUUCCUGAACAAUGUCGCUGCGUAUAACCUUCAAGGACAAGGCUUUGGGGAGGGCCACAGACACCCUCCGAUCCCCGUUGCCAAUACUCCAGACCCUUCGUCCUCUGCUAGCCCACCUCUCAUGCCCCCACCCCCCUUCCCGUCCUCUCCCCCCCACCUCACCCCUCAGCUGCGGGCUCCCUUCUCUCCCCACUGGGCAUACACACCCGAAUCAAGGGCUAGCCCAACCCAUCAUCCUUGGGGGCCAACGAGAAGGAAGCUUCCCCAAUGAGCUUCAGAAAGGAAGUGAGUGCCACACCCUGCCCCAGGGAUUUCCCUCCUGGGGGCAGAAGAGACAGAGCACCAAAGGAGAAUCUUACUCCCCGAAUUUAGACCCAGCCCUGGUG
ensembl:lncRNA